CUUAAGUUUGGCCCCCCGAAACUAGACGAGCUACUCUAAAACAGCCCACAGAGCUAACCCAUCCCUGUUGCAAGAGGGUGGAAAGAUUUUAAAGUAGAGGCGACACACCUACCGAGCCUAGAAAUAGCUGGUUAUUUAAUAAACGGAUUUGAGUCCCCCUUUAAGCUUCCCCAGUCUAACUAAACCCCCCACAAGCUUAAAAGCCAUUCAAAUAAGGUACAGCCUAUUUGAACUAGGAAACAACCUCCAACACCGGGUAACAACUACAUGUGCGGCCAAGUAGGCCUAAAAGCAGCCAACUUAUAAAAGCGUCCAAGCUUCCCCACAAUCUAUCCCCAAAUUCACCCACUAAUUUAUAACCCCCACCCACUACUAAAUGACCCCAUAUUUGUAUGAGAGACAUUAUGCUAGAACUAGUAACAAGAAGAAGAACUUCUCCAAAAUGUAAAUGUAAACCAA
rnacentral:rRNA from 1 species